ensembl:lncRNA
CGCCCGCCCUUGGCGGUGCCACAAGCCCUUUGCGGAGGCGGCUGAGCCCAGCCCGGAAGGUUCUGGAAAGGUGCCCCGUUCCCGGUACUCAGAGCUCGGAGCUCGGAGCAGGGCUCCUCCCAGCUCUCUCGAGGCCUGGCGUCUGCUGUGGGAUGAUGGAAACUGCCAGCCGGCCCGCGCGGCUCCAGCCAGCCCUGGGCCCUUAUCUGCCAUCAGUGUGGCCGGGCAGCGCUCCGAGGUCUGGACAGCCAGCGGGAGACCCGGCGUGCCCAUGACCUCGGCAGGCACUGGUGUGGAACGCCUGCCGGGCUCUGCCAGCGGCCUGGAUGGCCUAUCCUUGGGGCUGGGGGCUCACCUUGUCCUGUCCUCUCCCCAUGUGGGACCCCAGCACGUCGCCCGCCUCUGAACCAGGCACCUGCUGUGUGCGGGCAGCGCGGUGCUAAUCCCUGUGGGUGGAGAGGCUGAGACGCGGAGGCUGACAGCCUCGGAAGCUGGAGUCGAGCCAGGUCCCCAGGGCCCCUCGAGAACCCCAGAGCCCUGGCCACACCCCCAGCUCCCAUGGACACCAGCGGGGCCGCUGAGGUGGGCGUGGGUGUGGCCCGCGGGGAGGCCUCCGGGUCACUCCCAUGGACACAGCCCCAUGCCAGUCCCUGGGGGCACCCAUCCUCACUGCGGGCGGCGGACAGCACCUGGCAAAGUCGCUUCCUGCAGACCUGCUCUGGCUGCUGUGGGGAGCGUGGCACCAACACCCACGUCCUCUGGCCAUGUCCUGGGCUCCGGCCCAACUGUUUCUGAGCCAAUGGUGGCGAAGCAAGAGUCCGGAAGAGCCCCGCCCGCCGGCACUCUCCCUGGCUGUCAAUCAGCUCGCCUGUUCUUCUGUCUUUGGGCGCAGGGUCUGCCCCAGUGGUGAACCCCAGGGGAUCUACAGAGCCAGGGACGAAGGGCGCACGGAGCCCCCGGCACCCAGCUGGCCUGGCGCGGCUCCUGUUCGGAGCCGAGAGGGGAGUUUGAAAAAGCCGAUGUUGGUUCCCACGACAUCCCCAAGGGUGCCGCAGCGGCACAUGGAUGAGACUCCUCUGGUGAGCAUCUAUUGAGCGCCUGCUGUGUGCAAGCACUGGCCGAGGGGAAGGUAGAGACCCUGGGAAGAGAGCCCAACGCCUGUCACAUCAGCCAGCGGAGUCCAAUCAGACAGCGAGCCCUACGGCAGCCGCUGUGGCCCUGGGGAUGGUGCCCGGCGCUGCCCCGGGGCCUGUCCUCUGCCCUGCCCAAGGCCAGCUUCCACAUCAGCCGGCAUGGUAGGGGCCCUGGCGCGACACGCGGUGGGAGGCGAGCACUCCCGCGUCGCAGGACGGUGGGGCCGGGGUGGUGAGGGGACCCUGCCCGGCCGGGCCUGUGAUGCCGGGACCUCCUCCGGCCCUUCUGGCUCCUGCACAUGGUGCGGGAGGCCGGUGACCAUAAGCCAGAUGCCACAGACAUGCCAGGGUCACCAGGGGACCUGAGUGACAGGCCACCCCGGGCAGGGAGUGCACAGGGACUCCCCAAGACUACCCAACAGGUCCAAGAAGACGCCUCCGUCACACGGCUCCAAGCAGCUGGUGGGGGCGGCCCUGCCUCCUGAGGGGCCGGAGAGGGCUGCCAUGGGCCUUGUGCCAGCGCGAGGCUGGGCGCCCACGUGAAUUCCACCUGGCAGGGCAGACCCACCAGUGCGAGGACGAAUGACCGGGGAAGGAGUGAUGCUGAGGGCCAGGCCCCGCCGUGCGCCGGCUCACCGCCAGCUCACCGCCCGCUGCCCUCGGCCUCCCUCCCUUGUCUACUUCCCUACCCUCGUCUCGGCGACACUGUGUGGGUAGGGCUGUCCCCAGACCCCAACUCGUCCCAGGAGCCGAGCCAGGAGGGGCCUCGGCCAGAGACGCAAGCUCGGGAGCUCGGCAGGUGCAGGCCUGGUGGUGAGGGGGGCGGGGCCGGGCCGCAGGGCUCCGGAGCGCCAAGGCCGGCUUCCGGGCCCCGGGGACCGUGCGGCCGCAUCGCAGCCGCAGAGAUGAGCCGUGAGAGCCUUUCUGUUAAUUUUCCAGCCCAGACAAAAUCAAUAAAUUCUGGAAACCUGGGAGCA